AUUCAUAACGUUUUUUGUUAACGAUGCAAGUAUAUAACCUUCGGAGAAAAGAAAAUCUUUCGACAAAAAACGAGAAGAAAUCAACAGAGCAAAAAAUAUUGAACCCAACUGCUUUGAAUUUCAACGAGACUCAAAGCAGAGAAAGAAUCAACGAAGGAGAAGUUAACCAUGAGAAAGUUCCGAAGUUACAAAGAUUUCUUCUGGUUUUCAGAUACUUAGAGUGGUAAAAAGGUUUUUGCUGAUCUUUAGAAGUACAUAAUCCUACAAUUGCGAGGCCGCACUGCCAAAUUACACUUCGUUCAUACUCCUAUAAUUUUAUUGCCAUCACUAACGUACGUGUUUCUACCCCUUUUGGGAGAAUUUUUCUUGCUGCUUCUAAUAUAUGCUUUUAUUUUUACUGUAAUUUUUUUAUUUUUGGUUGUUAAACCCUGAACCUGGGUAUUUUGCGUAAAAUAGUAAUUAUUUCAAUUGAAAGGAUGUUUCUUUGUUUUAAUCUCACUUAGUAUGAGUUUUCUUAAUUGAAUGUUCCUACCUACGUUUUCCAAAAUAGGCUGUAAGAUUAAGGUAAAUUUUUUUCCUCUCACGUUAGAUUGAGGCCGGAUAUAUUAAAUUUAAUCAAAGCAAUAUUCGAUCAGUUUGGUUAUUCAUCUCCCGUAAAUGGAGAGAUACUUGAAGUUUUUUUAAAAUUGUUUUUUGACAAAUAAUAUACUCGAAGGUGCCUUUCUUUUUCGUUGGCUCUUCUUUAAUAUGUUGGAUAUUUUGGGUAUUUCUUUUGCAGGUAAUUAUAGCAGUAUAAGCCAUUCUCAUAUACUAACUUUUUUGAGACACUUUCAAAGUGGUGCUGCUAAAAGAGAAACAACCACACCACUGCCAGGAUUACAAUUAUUAAUGCAGGAGAUGGCCCUAGACAACAUCCAACAUGGGUUUGUGAACUUCCUGAAAAAUAAUUAUUAUUUUUACACAAUAGUUAAAUUUACAACUCAUUUGUAGAUAAUUAUCAUAAGUAUAUUUGUAUGCGUUAAUAUGAACCGAGCAUAACUUUAAUGAUUCAAAUUGGUGGUGGUACAUUGGGUUAGCUUAAAACUAAAUUAAUUAAUUAAUUUAUAUCUCCUUCUAGAUAAUCAUAAGUUCUUAAUGGAGUAUCAUUUUUUAAUCUAAAUUGUAGCACAGUAACAAAAACAUAGGAUAGGAUACCUUAAAUAACAUCCUCUUAGAAAUAUCAAUUUGAAUUUCUAUAACAGAUUUCAACUGGAAUUUGUUUUCCUGAGAGCAAUUAGUAACUACUAGAAGUAUAUUGAAUUUGUGCGGACUGUUGAUACAGAGGAUAAGUGAAUUUUGCAGGCUUUAGUCUUGAGGCUUUGUCAAGAAGAUGGGAGUUGAAACUUGAAGCAUAAGUUGAGGAAGACGGGGAACGCACACCACGACACCGGUCACUGCUUCUGCCACUGCUGUGAUAGAUACUGAGAAUAAUGAAAUCAUAUUAGCCAAGAUGGAAGAAGCGCCAGCAAUAGCAACAGAAACACCAAAAACUUAGUAGGUGUUUGGACAUAAGUAUUGUGAAAUUCCGGGAGAAAGUGAUUUUUGUUUUUUAAGUGAAUAUGGUAUUUAAAAAUUAGAGUUGUGUUUGGAUAUUAAUACAAUUUGGAACUAUUUUUGAAUUUUAUGCGUG
rnacentral:lncRNA from 1 species